UAUUUAGGGUAAUCGCUAUAGAAAUAUAGAGGAAAGUCCAUGCUCACACAGUCUGAGAUGACUGUAGUGUUCGUGCUUGAUGAAACUAUAAGUCAAGGCAAUUAAUUGACGGCAACGAAAUAAUCUAAGUCUUACGAUAGGAUUAGAGUAGUUUGAAAGUGCCACAGUGACGGAGCUUUUACGGAAACGUAAAAGGUGGAACGCGGUAAACCCCUCGAGUGAGCAAUCCAAAUUUGGUAGGAGCACUUGUUAAGCGAAAAUCAACGCAUUAACAAGACGUUAGUAGUUGCUAACGUAGACAGAUGGUUACCACCAGCGUACAAGUGUAGCUAGUACACGUAGCAGUACAAAGGUACAGAACAUGGCUUAUAUAA
rnacentral:RNase_P_RNA from 1 species